CGGGUGAGUAACACGUAUCCAACCUGCCGUCUACUCUUGGACAGCCUUCUGAAAGGAAGAUUAAUACAAGAUGGCAUCAUGAGUCCGCAUGUUCACAUGAUUAAAGGUAUUCCGGUAGACGAUGGGGAUGCGUUCCAUUAGAUAGUAGGCGGGGUAACGACCCACCUAGUCUUCGAUGGAUAGGGGUUCUGAGAGGAAGGUCCCCCACAUUGGAACUGAGACACGGCCCAG
rnacentral:rRNA from 1 species